CUGGCUGCGGGCACCUGGCGCCCUGUGCUGACCGGGACCCCGGCUCCGACCCACCCACAUCGCAGGAAUGCAAUAUACAUUAACAGAAGAUCUGUUGAAGAAGAGCUCACCAGGUUCAACAAACACAAACGACAAAUGAAGGAGGCAUGAAAUAGGCACCAAUGUAUCUAUGUGGUCAUGUUCAUUAAACCAUGAGAUUUCCAGAA